rnacentral:rRNA from 12 species
UGGUAUGGCCACACCCGAGUUCGAGUGCCCGAUCCCGUCUGAUCUUGAAAGCUAAGCAGGGUUAUGCCUGGUCAGUACUUGGAUGGGAGACUGCCUUGGAAGACCAGCAAGUUGUGUCAG